rnacentral:rRNA from 1 species
GGCUUAUAAUUGAAGUCUGGCAUGAAUGAAUUAAUGGGGAGUUACUGUCUUUUUGGGUUUUCCAGAACUUACUUAACAAGUGAAAAUACUUGUAAAUAAAUAAUAGACGAGAAGACCCUAGAAAUUUUUUUAAUAUUGGUUUUAUAUCUAAUUAAUUUUGCUGGGGCGGCAGAAUAACAUUAAACUUAUUUUAAUAAAUUUGAACUAUCUACUGAGUAAAAGUAAAUUACUCUAGGGAUAACAGCAUAAUUUUACAAAGUUUGUGACCUCGAUGUUGGACUAGGGACUUUAGUGUUUAGAAGAUACUAAAUCAGGCUCUGU